GACGAACGCUGGCGGCGUGCCUAAUACAUGCAAGUAGAACGCUGAAGGAGGAGCUUGCUUCUCUGGAUGAGUUGCGAACGGGUGAGUAACGCGUAGGUAACCUGCCUGGUAGCGGGGGAUAACUAUUGGAAACGAUAGCUAAUACCGCAUAACAGUAGAUGUCGCAUGACAUUUGCUUAAAAGGUGCAAUUGCAUCACUACCAGAUGGACCUGCGUUGUAUUAGCUAGUUGGUGAGGUAACGGCUCACCAAGGCGACGAUACAUAGCCGACCUGAGAGGGUGAUCGGCCACACUGGGACUGAGACACGGCCCAGACUCCUACGGGAGGCAGCAGUAGGGAAUCUUCGGCAAUGGACGGAAGUCUGACCGAGCAACGCCGCGUGAGUGAAGAAGGUUUUCGGAUCGUAAAGCUCUGUUGUAAGAGAAGAACGAGUGUGAGAGUGGAAAGUUCACACUGUGACGGUAUCU
rnacentral:rRNA from 1 species